GUGGGGAAUUUUGGACAAUGGGCGCAAGCCUGAUCCAGCAAUGCCGCGUGCAGGAAGAAGGCCUUCGGGUUGUAAACUGCUUUUGUACGGAACGAAACGGUCCUGGUUAAUACCCGGGGCUAAUGACGGUACCGUAAGAAUAAGCACCGGCUAACUACGUGCCAGCAGCCGCGGUAAUACGUAGGGUGCAAGCGUUAAUCGGAAUUACUGGGCGUAAAGCGUGCGCAGGCGGUGCUGUAAGACAGGCGUGAAAUCCCCGGGCUUAACCUGGGAAUUGCGCUUGUGACUGCAGUGCUGGAGUGCGGCAGAGGGGGAUGGAAGUCCGCGUGUAGCAGUGAAAUGCGUAGAUAUGCGGAGGAACACCGAUGGCGAAGGCAAUCCCCUGGGCCUGCACUGACGCUCAUGCACGAAAGCGUGGGGAGCAAACAGGAUUAGAAACCCGAGUAGUCC
rnacentral:rRNA from 1 species